AGUGUCCGGGAUGAAAAGGGAACGUGGUGCGGAGAGGUUAGUUCAGCCGAUCCAAUUCCACGACUGCCCCCGCAACUGUAAGCGGUGAGCGCUUCGGAUUAACCACUGGUACAGGGACAUGAUCCCCGGCUGGGAAGGACCGAAAUCGCGUUGACCCGCAAGUCAGGAGACCUGCCAUCACGUAU
rnacentral:ncRNA from 1 species